rnacentral:rRNA from 1 species
GAUAAACGUUGGCGGCGUGCCUAAUGCAUGCAAGUCGCACGAGGGCUUCGGCCCUAGUGGCGGACGGGUGAGUAACACGUACGAAUCUGCCCGGAGGUGGGGGACAACUUCCCGAAAGGGAAGCUAAUACCGCAUACGGUCUACGGACCAAAGCCGAAAGGCGCCACCGGAGGAGCGUGCGGCGGAUUAGCUAGUUGGUGGGGUAACGGCCUACCAAGGCGACGAUCCGUAGCUGGUCUGAGAGGAUGGUCAGCCACACUGGGACUGAGAUACGGCCCAGACUCCUACGGGAGGCAGCAGCAAGGAAUUUUGCACAAUCGACGCAAGUCGGAUGCAGCAACGCCGCGUGGGGGAUGAAGGCUCUCGGGUUGUAAACCCCUUUUGCGAGGGAAGAAGAUCUGACGGUACCUCGCGAAUAAGUCAUGGCUAACUACGUGCCAGCCGCCGCCGUAAUAC